rnacentral:lncRNA from 1 species
UAGCGCAGGGCGCUCCCCUAGCCCCAGGACAGCUCCUCCAUUCGGCGCCCCUUGCUCCAAUCCUCUCAUCUUCUUCCUCCAUGGACGCCGAGACGCAAAGCCCCCAUGGCCGCUAGCCUCCAUGGCACUUGGCCCCUUGAGCUCGCCUUCCUCAACUCCGGCAGCUUGGGAUCCACUUCUCCCUGCACGCUGCACCUCCCAUCGAGGCCCGGAUGAGCAGCGACCACGGCCACAUGCAGCAGCGGCAAAUCUGCCCUGUGCGUGCAUGUUCUAGAGGAAGAAGAAGACCUCCCUGUGUCUAUGGCGAGUGGGCCCAAGGCCAGAUGUAAGUGCACAAAAGUUGCAGAUUUUUGCUCUUCCAUCAAAUAUUUAUAUCUCGAGUUUUAGAGCUCCUAAAAUCACGAAAUUUAUUUUGUUGGCUUCCUUAUAAAAUGAUCUAACUAGUGGAUCUAUAUGUUGGUAUAUUUUAGUGGAAAAUUUUUUCUGUAGAAAUUCGUAUUUAAAAACUGGUUUAGAGAAUAAACGAACUUGCUUCUCUCCAUAAUUUUAUUUAUAAAAAUCUAAAAAUGAUGAAACUUGUUUUGUUAGUUAGAUGUUGUCAUACUCCAUCUAAGAAAAAUAUAAAACUUACAGGUUGUUCACUGUUUUCUUGGUGUGUUAAUUAAAACAUGUUAAAUAGGAAAAAGAUGAUUGUUUUGAUUGUUAUUUUUGGAUCUGUAGCUCUGGUGCUCCAAAUGGGUUGAAAUUUUUACAAUAGACUCUUGGUGUGAUGCUUGGUGACUGGUAAAAAUUUCAUGAAUUAUGGUGCAAGUAUGAUUAAGUUAGUUAUUUAACUUGUUUAAUGCAUAUUAAGUAGUUUUAAAUGGUUUAUAAAUAAUAUAUGGAUGUAAAAAUAGAAAAUGGUGUUCCACUGUCCACGUAUGAUAUUAUAGUAGCCUAAGGAAACUUAAUAUGGUCAUGCAUCCACAGAAACUAAUUAAUUUUAGAAUUAACUUGCUCUCACAAGCUUUAUUGCAUUAACAAUUUGUUAUUUUUGUAUUAAAUAAAAUAUAAAACCUGGGCAUAUGAAAUUUAUACAUUGGUCAUGAUUUGUUAUUAUCUAUACCUCAUAAAAAUUCCAGCCCCAAAUUAGAUAGUUUUAUAUGGUGCUAAAAUGACACACAUUUUAUAAUUAUAAGAACAAUUAGUGAAAAAUUAGAAGUAAACAAAGGCAUGCAUGUUUCUUGAAAUACUUAAGUGCCUUGAUAUAAAUUGAAACUUUACAACUAGGUCAUAAUGAUUUGAAUUUAAGAAAUUAGUGAUAGUAUCUCUCUAUGAGUUUGCUUGGUGAUUUAGUUAAGUGCUCUUGUGCUAGCAAACUGAAAUUUAUGGGUGUACAGUUUUGGUUGUGUGAGUAAUCUAGUAAAGUAAAGUGUGUUUUCUGUAGAUAUGUGCUAUAUAAAAGUUGUAUUUUACUUGUGUAUGUAUCUUGUCCUAAAAAUGCAUGAGCUAAGAAUUGAUUGUUUAGAAGCUAUACUUUUCACAAAUUCAGUAACUGAAUCUGCCCAAAUUCUGUACAGAUUUCAGAAACUGCAUUGUUUGCCUAAUUUAAUGUUACAAUCUGUUCAUGGUCGUUAUAAGAAAGUUGUAGAUGCUUUUCUUAUCUUGCUUGUGUUAAAAUUUCAUAACCAUAGACCUGACAGAUUAGGAGUUAUAAAUUUUGCAAACUGGUUGUUGUAUUCUGUCCACUGACAGAACAGAUUUUGAAAACUGAAUUGUUUGAUUCAGUUCAGCAUAGAAUCAAUUCUUGGUGAUUAUAAAAGUAUGUAGUUCUUUUGCCAAGCUUUCCAAAAAGUCUUGGAUCACUCUUUUUGGUGAUCUGAAGAUUAAGUUAUGAAUGUUUAAAGUCUGAAGACUGAAUCUGUCCAAUUCUGGACAGCAAAGCCUUCUAGUGUCUUUUGUUCUUAGUUAAAUAUUGAAUCAACCUGAGUUGUUUAUAAUUGAUUUAUAGAAAAUUUAAUUAUAUUUCCAGAAAGUUUAAGAUCAAAUGAUUUGGAUGUCUGAGUCCCUAGUUAUGAAUUUUUGAAGGCAUAAGUCUGAAUCUGCCCAAAUCUGAAUAAAGCUGUCGUUUAUCACUAUUUAACCUUAUUAAGUGUCUAAUCACCUUGAGAUGAUAAUACCAAAGUUGUAGUUCACUUUUUAAGCUUUCCAGAAAGUCCGAGUUUGCUAUUGUUGGAUUAAUAUUUGAAGAGUUAUGAUUAAAACAAACAACUGCUCUGUUGCUGUCCUAAUGUGUUAGAAGUGAUUGAUUGCUCUACUCUAUUGUGUUUGACUUGAGUGACUGCUUGCUUGUUUUGGUUUUAAUUGAACAUGAGUAAUAAUGAAAGUGACAAUUAUAAUUUGAGUUAUAUACAGGUAAGUAGUACAUAUCUCACUAAGUUAGUGAACUAAUUUUGUUGAGGUCUAAUAAGUAGCUUGACUUAAUCAACACUUAGCAAUGCAGUUAUAUGUUCGGAGAAACAAAAUAAUAAUGUCUUGUCUUUGCCUUUCUGCUAAUACUAAUAAGUAACCAACGUCAUUAAAGUAGUAUAAUAUGUAAUUGUGAUUAAACUAUCUCCUCAUGUGUGUUCUCUGGGGUGUAUGCUUGCAGUAGAAUGCUGUGAAUGAUUGUGAAACCCGAUUAAGUAACUAUUCCUUUUUAACUAAGUUUGUCUAUGUGUAAGUCAUCGUAAAUUUAUGUGUACUUAACUAGUUUCAUAAUAAGUAGCCAAUGAACGAUUAAAGUGAAUGUGAUAAAUGCUUGCACGUGUGAUGCUGUGUUGCGCUGGUUAAUUCUAGAAAGUAUUGGUUGUCUUUCUAAUGGUAUUAAUUACAUAUGAUCGAUGAAGUGUAGAUAGCUAAUACUAGCAUAUGGUUGUCGCGGUGUCUUACAAUUUAAUGUUUAGUUCGCUACAGUCCAUUUUGGGAUUACCUUGUGAUAUAUUUCAUUAUAUUCAUACAUAUGCAUCUUGCAUCUCAUUUAGGACCGAGAGAUGAUAAUCGUGCAAGUGAUAUGGUACCAACAACAAGAUGCAGUUGGCGGAUGACCUGAAGACUGAUGGACUUAACCAGUGGAUGCUCGCCAAGCGAGUACCUCCCCCAGCAAACACUGCCUAAGUGUUAAAUUAAAG